rnacentral:rRNA from 1 species
UAGGGAAUAUUGCAAAAUGGGCGAAAGCCCGAUGCAGCAACGCCGCGUGGGCGAUGAAGGCCUUCGGGUCGUAAAGCCCUUUUUGGGGGGAUGAGGAAGGACAGUACCCUCAGAAUAAGCCCCGGCUAACUUCGUGCCAGCAGCCGCGGUAAAACGUAGGAGGCGAGCGUUAUCCGGAUUUACUGGGCGUAAAGCGCGUGCAGGCGGAUUGGAGAGUUGGAUGUGAAAGCUCCCGGCUUAACUGGGAGAGGUCGUUCAAUACUUCCAGUCUUUAGUGCAGUAGAGGGAAGUGGAAUACCGGGUGUAGUGGUGAAAGGCGUAGAUAUCCGGAGGAACACCAGUGGCGAAAGCGGCUUCCUGGACUGUAACUGACGCUCAGACGCGAAAGCUAGG